rnacentral:rRNA from 1 species
UGUAAGCGUAUACCAAAGUUGUUGCAGUUAAAACGCUCGUAGUCGGAACUUGGCAGUUCCGGAAGUGUGCACGUCGUGUGCGCACUUUGCAGGGACUGCUUUUGUGGCCUUGCGUAGGAUGAGGCACUUUUAUUAGUGAACGUCCUCACGCAACCACUCUUUACUGUGAGAAAAUCAGAGUGCUCAAAGCAGGCAUUUGCCGUGAAUGUAUUAGCAUGGAAUAAUAGAAUAGGACUCGGUUCUAUUUUGUUGGUUUGUUGGGACUGAGUAAUGAUUAAGAGGGACAGUUGGGGGCAUUUGUAUUUCGGCGCUAGAGGUGAAAUUCUUAGAUUGCCGAAAGACAAACUGCUGCGAAAGCGUCUGCCAAGGAUGUUUUCAUUGA